ACGGUAGCACAGAGAGCUUGCUCUCGGGUGACGAGUGGCGGACGGGUGAGUAAUGUCUGGGAAACUGCCUGAUGGAGGGGGAUAACUACUGGAAACGGUAGCUAAUACCGCAUAACGUCGCAAGACCAAAGAGGGGGACCUUCGGGCCUCUUGCCAUCAGAUGUGCCCAGAUGGGAUUAGCUAGUAGGUGGGGUAACGGCUCACCUAGGCGACGAUCCCUAGCUGGUCUGAGAGGAUGACCAGCCACACUGGAACUGAGACACGGUCCAGACUCCUACGGGAGGCAGCAGUGGGGAAUAUUGCACAAUGGGCGCAAGCCUGAUGCAGCCAUGCCGCGUGUAUGAAGAAGGCCUUCGGGUUGUAAAGUACUUUCAGCGGGGAGGAAGGUGUUGUGGUUAAUAACCGCAGCAAUUGACGUUACCCGCAGAAGAAGCACCGGCUAACUCCGUGCCAGCAGCCGCGGUAAUACGGAGGGUGCAAGCGUUAAUCGGAAUUACUGGGCGUAAAGCGCACGCAGGCGGUCUGUCAAGUCGGAUGUGAAAUCCCCGGGCUCAACCUGGGAACUGCAUUCGAAACUGGCAGGCUAGAGUCUUGUAGAGGGGGGUAGAAUUCCAGGUGUAGCGGUGAAAUGCGUAGAGAUCUGGAGGAAUACCGGUGGCGAAGGCGGCCCCCUGGACAAAGACUGACGCUCAGGUGCGAAAGCGUGGGGAGCAAACAGG
rnacentral:rRNA from 1 species